UCAUCAUGCCCCUUAUGUCCAGGGCUUCACACAUGCUACAAUGGUCGGUACAACGCGCAACACUGUGAGGUGGAGCGAAUCGCUGAAAGCCGGCCUUAGUUCGGAUUGGGGUCUGCAACUCGACCCCAUGAAGUCGGAGUCGCUAGUAAUCGCAGAUCAGCAAUGCUGCGGUGAAUACGUUCCCGGGCCUUGUACACACCGCCCGUCACGUCAUGAAAGUUGGUAACACCCGAAGCCGGUGGCCCAAACUUGUUAGGGAGCCGUCGAAGGUGGGAUCGGCGAUUGGGACGAAGCGUAACAAGGUACCCGUACCGGAA
rnacentral:rRNA from 1 species